ACGGAAGGCAGCAGUGAGGAAUAUUGGUCAAUGGACGAGAGUCUGAACCAGCCAAGUCGCGUGAAGGAAGACGGUUCUAUGGAUUGUAAACUUCUUUUGUUUGAGAGUAAAAUGAGAUACGUGUAUCUUAUUGUAAGUAUCAGACGAAUAAGCAUCGGCUAACUCCGUGCCAGCAGCCGCGGUAAUACGGAGGAUGCGAGCGUUAUCCGGAUUUAUUGGGUUUAAAGGGUGCGUAGGCGGAAGAUUAAGUCAGCGGUGAAAGCGUGUAGCUUAACUAUACCAAGCCGUUGAAACUGGUUUUCUUGAGUGUAAACGAGGUAGGCGGAAUGUGACGUGUAGCGGUGAAAUGCUUAGAUAUGUCACAGAACACCGAUUGCGAAGGCAGCUUACUAGCAUACAACUGACGCUGAGGCACGAAAGCGUGGGUAUCAAACAGGAUUAGAUACCCUGGUA
rnacentral:rRNA from 1 species